AUUGAACGCUGGCGGCAGGCCUAACACAUGCAAGUCGAGCGGAUGAAGAGAGCUUGCUCUCUGAUUCAGCGGCGGACGGGUGAGUAAUGCCUAGGAAUCUGCCUGGUAGUGGGGGACAACGUUUCGAAAGGAACGCUAAUACCGCAUACGUCCUACGGGAGAAAGUGGGGGAUCUUCGGACCUCACGCUAUCAGAUGAGCCUAGGUACGAUUAGCUAGUUGGUGAGGUAAAGGCUCACCAAGGCGACGAUCGUUAACUGGUCUGAGAGGAUGAUCAGUCACACUGGAAAUGAGACACGGUCCAGACUCCGACGGGAGGCAGCAGUGGGGAAUAUUGGACAAUGGGCGAAAGCCUGAUCCAGCCAUGCCGCGUGUGUGAAGAAGGUCUUCGGAUUGUAAAGCACUUUAAGUUGCGAGGAAGGGCAGUAAGUUAAUACCUUGCUGUUUUGACGUUACCGACAGAAUAAGCACCGGCUAACUUCGUGCCAGCCGCCGCCGUAAUAC
rnacentral:rRNA from 1 species